GAGGCUAAUUGAAAAACAAGCUCUGGGCGCCGCAAUAAAAAAAAAAACAAAUUUCUCGGCUCCUUCACAUUCAAAAGGCUGAGAGCUUCAUCAUCUUGAGCUUUCAGCUUCAGCAGCAAUAGCCAUUUUUCUGAAAAGAACCCAACAACCCUCCAACUCCUUCUUCUAACCUAGAGACCCACGAAAAACCAGUUGGAAUCCAGCCGAGGAACCAGUCAAGCAACAGCCCAGAUUUGCGGUCGAAAUCAGCUCCAAAAAACCUUAAACCAGCCAUGGACAUCACCUAAACUCCAAUCUCGAGUCAGAUCCGGCUGAAUACGAUACUUCUGGUCGCUUGUGCAUUUCCCGGCGAUUUUCAGUCCAAGACAACACUUGGACACAAAAAUUCCGGUCAAGCUCGAGUUUCGUUGAUAGGUUUCCCAUUCAAGAUCCGGUGGCGGUUUGGCCUUUGUUCUGGUUUUCUUUUGAUUUUUAGUUGCGGUUCAGGACGUAUCUCAUGUAUAUUGGUUCGCUGUAAGAUGCUGCUUGACUGUUGAAUUACACAUUACGUUAACAUUGGCAUCACUGCUGCAUUACAUAGCAGCUUACUAUUUUGUAGUAUUUAGCUAUUGGGUUCUUUAAUAAGGACUAGUUCGAUUU
rnacentral:lncRNA from 1 species